rnacentral:rRNA from 1 species
UUUUUUUUGUUUUUUUAUAUUUUAGUAUUGCAUACUAUAUUAGUAUUAUUUUAAAUUUUUAAUUAAUAGAAAUAGAGUGUUUAAAAUUUAGUUUGUUUUUUUGUUACAAAAUUAAUUUUACUAUAUUUUAGUGUUGAAACAUCGAAUUCUAUGAUAUCUGUUUUUUUUUUUAAUGUUAGAAAAUUAUAUUUUUUUUUUUUAUUUUUGAGUAUUAAUUGUUUAUAGUGUUUUUGUUUUAAGUUUUAUAACUUUACUCUUUUUUAUUAUUUUUUUUUUAUUUUUUUUUAUAAUUUAUUAUAAUUUUUAUUAUCUAAUAAUUAGUAAAUUAAUAAAUUAUGUUUUUGUUUUUAAUAUAAUUUAGAUUACUAAUGAUCAAGAUCAAAUGUUUAUUAAAGACUUAUGAUUUAUAUUAAAUCUUUCUUCUGCCCUAUGAUUAUAUAAAUGGCAGUCUUAGCGUGAGGACAUUAAGGUAGCGAAAUAAUUUGUGCUUUUAUUGGGUUCCUGUAUGAAUGAAGGUUUGGUCGGUGAUAUUCUUUUUUUAUUUUGAAUUUAAUAUAUAUCUAAGAAAAGAUAUUUAUAAUAAUACAAAGAUAAGUCUUCGGAAAUUUUAUUUACAUAAUUUGUUUUUUUUUAUGUAAAUUUAUCUAGGGAAGAUAAUUAUAUAAUUUUUUUUUACUAUUUAUAAUUAAAAAAAUUACUCCGGAGUUAACAGAAAAUCAUACCUUAUAUAGUUCUUAUAUUUUGGUAAGUUUUACAUCGAUGUUGUAUCUCUAUUUGCUUAGAAAGAAUAAGGCUUAGUAAUUUAGACUGUUCUUCUGUUAUUAAAUAGGACGUGAUAUUAGUUUAAUUCAUCGUGAGAUAGAAUUGUUUAUCUUGAUUAUUAUUUUGUUUUAUUUAGAAUAGUACGAAAGGAUUUUCAUUAAAAUUUUAAAUUUUUUUUAUU